UGAGGAAUAUUGGUCAAUGGCCGAGAGGCUGAACCAGCCAAGUCGCGUGAAGGAAGAAGGAUCUAUGGUUUGUAAACUUCUUUUAUAGGGGAAUAAAGUGGAGGACGUGUCCUUUUUUGUAUGUACCCUAUGAAUAAGCAUCGGCUAACUCCGUGCCAGCAGCCGCGGUAAUACGGAGGAUGCGAGCGUUAUCCGGAUUUAUUGGGUUUAAAGGGUGCGUAGGUGGUGAUUUAAGUCAGCGGUGAAAGUUUGUGGCUCAACCAUAAAAUUGCCGUUGAAACUGGGUUACUUGAGUGUGUUUGAGGUAGGCGGAAUGCGUGGUGUAGCGGUGAAAUGCAUAGAUAUCACGCAGAACUCCGAUUGCGAAGGCAGCUUACUAAACCAUAACUGACACUGAAGCACGAAAGCGUGGGGAUCAAACAGGAUUAGAUACCCUGGUAGUCCACGCAGUAAACGAUGAUUACUAGGAGUUUGCGAUACAAUGUAAGCUCUACAGCGAAAGCGUUAAGUAAUCCACCUGGGGAGUACGCCGGCAACGGUGAAACUCAAAGGAAUUGACGGGGGCCCGCACAAGCGGAGGAACAUGUGGUUUAAUUCGAUGAUACGCGAGGAACCUUACCCGGGUUUGAACGUAGUCUGACCGGAGUGGAAACACUCCUUCUAGCAAUAGCAGAUUACGAGGUGCUGCAUGGUUGUCGUCAGCUCGUGCCGUGAGGUGUCGGCUUAAGUGCCAUAACGAGCGCAACCCUUAUCACUAGUUACUAACAGGUGAAGCUGAGGACUCUGGUGAGACUGCCAGCGUAAGCUGUGAGGAAGGUGGGGAUGACGUCAAAUCAGCACGGCCCUUACAUCCGGGGCGACACACGUGUUACAAUGGCAUGGACAAAGGGCAGCUACCUGGCGACAGGAUGCUAAUCUCCAAACCAUGUCUCAGUUCGGAUCGGAGUCUGCAACUCGACUCCGUGAAGCUGGAUUCGCUAGUAAUCGCGCAUCAGCCAUGGCGCGGUGAAUACGUUCCC
rnacentral:rRNA from 1 species